UUGAACGCUGGCGGCAUGCUUUACACAUGCAAGUCGAACGGCAGCGGGCCCUUCGGGGUGCCGGCGAGUGGCGAACGGGUGAGUAAUACAUCGGAACGUGUCCUAUAGUGGGGGAUAACCCAGCGAAAGUUGGGCUAAUACCGCAUACGUCCUACGGGAGAAAGCGGGGGAUCGCAAGACCUCGCGCGAUUGGAGCGGCCGAUAUCGGAUUAGCUAGUUGGUGAGGUAAAGGCUCACCAAGGCGACGAUCCGUAGCUGGUCUGAGAGGACGACCAGCCACACUGGAACUGAGACACGGUCCAGACUCCUACGGGAGGCAGCAGUGGGGAAUUUUGGACAAUGGGGGCAACCCUGAUCCAGCCAUUCCGCGUGAGUGAAGAGGGCCUUCGGGUUGUAAAGCUCUUUCAGCAGGAACGAAACGGUGGCCCCUAAUACGGGCUACUAAUGACGGUACCUGAAGAAGAAGCACCGGCUAACUACGU
rnacentral:rRNA from 1 species